GUAUCAGCCAUUGUUACUCAGUAUAGGGGCAAUAUUGAGGCUAUAGGAAGUAUCAGCCAUUGUUACUCAGUAGAGGGGCAAUAUUGAGGCUAUAGGAAGUAUCAGCCAUUGUUACUCAGUAUAGGGGCAAUAUUGAGGCUAUAGGAAGUAUCAGCCAUUGUUACUCAGUAUAGGGGGGCAGUACUGAGGCUAUAGGAAGUAUCAGCCAUUGUUACUCAGUAUAGGGGGGCAGUACUGAGGCUAUAGGAAGUAUCAGCCAUUGUUACUCAGUAUAGGGGCAAUAUUAGGAAGGCUAUAGGAAGUAUCAGCCAUUGUUACUCAGUUUAGGGACAAUAUUGAGGCUAUAGGAAGUAUCAGCCACUGACAAAAAAUGUUUAUUCAUAUUAUUUUCCACUAAUUUUUUUAUCAUUGACUGCUCGUUUAAGCGUUAAACGUAUGAAUCUUCCUGUGACAGCCAUGUUUUCUAAAGGCUACGAAAGGUGUCAGAGAAAACUGUAACUGUGUCCAUUGUAAAGUAUGGCACUGAGAAUAGGAUGUGCUGGAAGAGAAAUGUAUUUGAUAUGUAAUUUAUUAUAAUUUUUUAUAUAUAUAAAUAUAUUUUAUAAAUAUGUAAAAGGAAAAUAUGGCAUUUUUAAAAAUUGAAUAUUCCUAUGAAAUGCUGUGUGCGCCGCGUCACUCCGCCAUUAGUUCUGUUCCUACAGGAGACUCUCCUUUAAAUCAAUAUUUAUGUGUUUGCUUUGUGUUUCGGACUUUGUUCCAGGAUCAUUAACUACAGUGAGAACUGUCGAGAAUUUAAAGUGAAAUUCAAGUUUUAGACCAAAGUAGCUAACCUGGACGUAUGGGUGACUUGGAGAAUUUUCCCAGUUCAGUUAUUUUAGCCCUAAAUUUGAAAUUAAUUUUGAAUUCACUUACAGUUUAAAUUUCUUUGGAAUUCCAGCACAUUCAAAGGAUAGAGCAGGGACUAGUUUGUCUCGUGUAACUGCUAAUCUUUCACAAAUGUUUUCCCCGCCAUUAUCCAUUGGUCGAGAUAGCUGAUGACACCAUUUAAUAAUAGAGCGAUGUUUAUUUCUUUCGGUUUGGUCCCCACUCCACCACUUCCACACAAGUGUACGGGUCACUAUGUAAAAACACGGACUCUAAAAGAGACAGUACAACUUUAAUACGGCCUCUGCGUUCAACAAAUGUCACGGUUACUGCUAUGUUUUUUUUUUCUUCAAUCAGUUAAAUUCCAGCAAUAAAUAGUAACUGUGUAUUUAAAUUUGCAGAAAUACGUUAAGUUUGUGUUUGAGCGCAGCGUUUGUGUUAAAUCAGGAAGCUAUAUAUUUUGGUCAGCGAUGCCCGAACAUUCACACAUAACUGUGUAUAUAUUUAUUUGUUUAUCCAAUAAACCCCUUAACGCAGAUUCCCCGCAGAUCGCUAUCUGAGCUUAUUCACUGAUGUGAGAAUUUAAAGUGAAUGCAAACUUUAAGGUCAAAGUAACCGAACUGGAAUAAGUGUGAGUGAGCUACAUUUUGUUUGGCUACUCUGGUCUUAAAUGGGAAAUUCACUCUGCAUAACCCUAUAUAAGCGGACACUGAGAAUCCUAUUCUAUGUGGAGUGUCAAUGUACGUAAUUAGAGAGAAAGACACCGGCCUCCAGUCUUGGAUGUUGUAACGAGGCUGAGGGUGAAUUUUAUGAAAUUGUCUGGUUUCCGUGUUUCAAAUUGUUUUACUUUCAUCAGGUAUUUACCAUAAAUAGAAACUUUGAGGAUCCGCAGACAGAUACCGGGUGAGCAGGAAAUACCUGUGAUUCACACGGCUUUGUGGUCAUUCACUAAGUGAUGUCACCAAAGUAAAUGAACCUAGAGAGCAGGAAAUCUGAUAGGAGGUGGGAUGGGACUAUGAACGAGGCACAAACAAGCCAACUCAGGAUGGUUGGAAUGAUCAAAUGAGGUUCUGAAUAAAUACACAACUUGUUACCACGUGUCUGUCCUAAAGUAUAAGUGUGGGCUAUCAGCUCCCAUCAGUUAAAUCGUGGUGGGACCGGAGACACCGGCCAUCCUGUUCAUAGGGAUCCAUGCCCUAGGGCAACAGGAAAACAAACGUUAACAGGGCUAUUUACAAAAUGAGAUUUCAAAGUGAAUUUCAGAGGCUACCCACAGCUGAACAGGAGGAUGUUAUAGAGUAAAAUAUUCCUAAUCCUAUAUUGAGCGGUAUACAGUCCAAGCACCAAAACCACUGCACAUUGUAGUGUUUACGGUGAUACAUAAUAAUAACAAAGUAUUUAACCAGGAAAAGUACAUUCAGAUUACUCUGGUUUUCAAGUACGUCCUGGGGGUGUUACCUUAGCUCAACAUCCAGGGGUUGUUACUAUUACCUAAUUUAGUGUGCCUGUUUAAGACGCACAGUCCCUAUUUUGAGCCCAAAUCCCUCUGUCCUCUCCUAAUGUCCCCCUUUUCUAUGAGCUCCAUAAUGUUGGUGUGUCUGAGUGUACCAGUGUGUCUGAGUAUAUUGCUCCACAGCAAUAAUACUCCCAGUAAUGUGCCUGAUUGUAUAACAGAGCUCCACAGCAAUAAUACUCCCAGUAAUGUGUCUGAGUGUAU